rnacentral:rRNA from 1 species
UACAGAGGUCUCAAGCGUUAGGCGGAAUCACUGGGCUUAAAGCGUGUGUAGGUGGGUUUGUAAGUACCUUGUGAAAUCCCAUGGCUCAACCAUGGAACUGCUUGGUAUACUGCGAAUCUUGAGCUGUCUAGAGGUUACUGGAACAAACGGUGGAGCGGUGAAAUGCGUAGAUAUCGUUUGGAACGCCAAUGGUGAAAACAGGUAACUGGGGAAACGCUGACACUGAGACACGAAAGCCAGGGGAGCAAACGGG